UUUGGGCCAUACCACCCGCCCAAUCUCAUCUGAUCUCAGAAGCUAAGCAGAGUCGGGCCUGGUUAGUACUUGGAUGCGACUUGAAAGUUCUUAACCUGCUUUCCACGAGAGAUUCUUCAACCAACACAU
rnacentral:rRNA from 1 species